rnacentral:rRNA from 1 species
GGGGGGGGGGGGGGGGGGGGGGGGGGGGGGGGGGGGGAGCGGGCGGGUGGGGAGGGUGCUCCUCUGACGUUAGCGGCGGACGGGUGAGUGACACGUGGGUAACCUACCUAUAAGACUGGGAUAACUUCGGGAAACCGGAGCUAAUACCGGAUAAUAUAUUGAACCGCAUGGUUCAAUAGUGAAAGACGGUUUUGCUGUCACUUAUAGAUGGAUCCGCGCCGCAUUAGCUAGUUGGUAAGGUAACGGCUUACCAAGGCAACGAUGCGUAGCCGACCUGAGAGGGUGAUCGGCCACACUGGAACUGAGACACGGUCCAGACUCCUACGGGAGGCAGCAGUAGGGAAUCUUCCGCAAUGGGCGAAAGCCUGACGGAGCAACGCCGCGUGAGUGAUGAAGGUCUUCGGAUCGUAAAACUCUGUUAUUAGGGAAGAACAAAUGUGUAAGUAACUAUGCACGUCUUGACGGUACCUAAUCAGAAAGCCACGGCUAACUACGUG